AACGCACGAGACCUGCGGACCUGCGGAAGGAUCAUUAAAAAGAGUGUGUACCCCUCUGUAAAAUGAGUGGGUUACCUCCCGUCCUUUGUUGACCUCUUAGGAGGUUAUUUUGAACUUUCUGCUUCGGUGGGGUUAAACCUACCGGAACACCCUCAAAUUCUUAUCAUUUAAAAAUUGUUCAGUCCGAUUUUUUGUUAAUAAAAACAAAAAACUUUCAGCAAUGGAUCUCUAGAUCGGAAG
rnacentral:misc_RNA from 1 species